GGGCUUGACAUCCCACGAACCUGCUGAAAGGCAGGAGUGCCCGCAAGGGAGCGCGGAGACAGGUGGUACAUGGCUGUCGUCAGCUCGUGUCGUGAGAUGUUGGGUUAAGUCCGGCAACGAGCGGAACCCUCACCCCUUGUUGCUACCAGGUGAAGCUGGGCACUCAAGGGGAACUUCCCCGGUCAACGGGGAGGAAGGCGGGGAUGACGUCAAGUCAUCAUGCCCCUUACGUCCUGGGAUACACACGUGGUACAAUGGCCGGUCCCAAGGGAUGCCACACCGCGAGGUUGAGCUAAACCAAAAAAGCCGGUCUAAGUUCAGAUUGCAGUCUGCAACGCGACUCCAUGAAGGAGGAAUCGCUAGUAAACGCGUAUCAGCACGACGCGAUGAAUACGUUCUUGGGGCUUGUACACACCGCCCGUCACACCACGAAAGCCAGCUGUACUCGAAGUCGCUGAG
rnacentral:rRNA from 1 species